rnacentral:rRNA from 1 species
AUACGUAGGGGGCAAGCGUUAUCCGGAAUCAUUGGGCGUAAAGAGUGCGUAGGUGGUUUCUUAAGCGUGGGGUUUAAGGCUACGGCUUAACCGUAGUUCGCCCCAUGAACUGGGAGACUUGAGUGCAGGAGGGGAAAGUGGAAUUCCUAGUGUAGCGGUGAAAUGCGUAGAUAUUAGGAGGAACACCAGUGGCGAAGGCGACUUUCUGGACUGUAACUGACACUGAGGCACGAAAGCGUGGGGAGCAAACAGGAUUAGAUACCCUGGUAGUCCAUGCCGUAAACGAUGAGCACUAGGUGUCGGGGCGACAAGCCUCGGUGCCGCAGUUAACGCAUUAAGUGCUCCGCCUGGGGAGUACGUUCGCAAGAAUAAAACUCAAAUGAAUUGACGGGG